AGUGAGAAUGGAAGAAGUACUAGCAGCAGCAGCAGCAGCACGGCAUCACCCUGCAGCAAGAGCAGCAGCAGCAGCAGCAAGUAGAUCACUGAUGUGAUUACGUUGACCAUGUGAUGUUGAGACAGUCUUUCUGAAGCGGCUCGCAGUAGCGUCUCCUUGAGCAGGUGACAGUAUAUUAAACAUAUGCGAAGAGUAACCAUGCCAUGCACAAAAAAUUCAGCAGAACUGUCAGAUUUUCAAAGAGAUCGUAUUGUUGGGCAAUCUCAGGCUGGUCUUAGCUAGCAAAAUUUUACCGAAAAUCUUCAAAUUCCUCUUGCUACUGUUAAUAAAAUUAUAGUGCAAUUCAAAAGCCAAUGAAAAGAAUCAACAGAUUCCCGUCCCGGCCGACCUGGGCCCUCGGAAAGGAAGCUUCGCUAUUUGAAGAGAAUUGUGGAAAACGAACCCCAUUUGAAGGCUUCUGACAUUGCAAGACAUCUAGAAGAUAGUCCAAGAACGUGUGUUACAUAUCUGCAUAAGCUUUGGUAUUAUGGACGAGGAGCUAGAAGAAAACCCCUCAU